AAAAGCUACAAUAUGCAGAAUCUUCGACUUGGCCACAGACUGCAAUACCCAAAAUCCCUCCCACGUUGCCUGAGGAAUGACUACCAUACCCAGAGUCCUCAGCGUUCUCCUCCAAUAACUAUACUACUCCAAAGCCUCCCUGUGGCGGCCUGGUUUUGAUGCCUAGAAUCCCAUUUGUUCCCGUUACCAAAGACUACAUUACCCAGAAUCCUUGCCGUGCUUGCCCGGGAAGACUACUAUAUCCAAGACUUCACUGCGGCAUCUUUAAAGGCUCGGGUACCCCGACCUCUCAGUGUAUUUCGCCAAGGACUAUGCUGCCCAGGAUUCUCCAUGUCCCCUCCAUCCUCAAACCAGGGCUAUGAUACACGGAAUCUUCCGCGUGCUCCCCAAGAGCUGUGACAGGCAGAGUCAUCUGCGUUGUAAUGGACCGGAAACCCAGAAUCCUCGGCCCAGGACCUGAACACAGGUGUCCACCAGGGUGUGCACGACCAGUCCUCUCUCAGAUCUGCUAUCGGUCCGAAAUUCAGGUUUCUUUAUUUUUAGGAGUUUAUCCAUACAUUGGGAACAUGUGCCAUUUCUGUGAUACAGGAAAUCAAAGUUCUUCAAGAGAUAAACAGCUGUUCCAAGUGGCAGUGAGGAAAUAUAAUUUCCAAUGUGAGGAAAAUCUUGAGGUCCAGUUUCAGUCGAUGGAGUGUCUCAAUGAGAAUGAAAGCUACAACCUGUCCUGCCUUCUGGAUCCCCUAUCCAAGCAGGCCAGCAACGCACUUAGGGCCAGGAGCAGGAAGUGACUGCCCAGGUCGGCAAGGGCAGACAGGCUCAGAGCUCAGUGGAGUCCGGGCUAAGUGUGAGUUCUCACUGCCCUGACCAGCCUUGGACCAGGGUGACCUGUCUCGCUACUCUGUUCCUUGAGACUUUAUUGUCAUAAAUCUGAUUUGCCUUUCCAAG
rnacentral:lncRNA from 1 species